rnacentral:rRNA from 1 species
AUACGGGGGGGGCUAGCGUUGUCCGGAAUUAUUGGGCGUAAAGGGCGCGUAGGCGGAAUGGUAAGUCAGUGGUGAAAAUCCAGGGCUCAACCUUGGACCUGCCUUUGAUACUGCCAUUCUUGAGUGCGAGAGAGGAAAGUGGAAUUCCCGGUGUAGCGGUGAAAUGCGUAGAUAUCGGGAAGAACACCGGUAGCGAAGGCGGCUUUCUGGCUCGCAACUGACGCUGAGGCGCGAAAGCGUAGGGAGCAAACAGGAUUAGAAACCCGGGUAGUCC